rnacentral:rRNA from 1 species
UACGUAGGCAGCAAGCGUUGUUCGGAGUUACUGGGCGUAAAGCGUGCGCAGGCGGUUUUGCAAGCCGGAUGUGAAAUCCCCGGGCUCAACCUGGGAAUGGCAUUUGGGACUGCAAGGCUCGAGUGCGGCAGAGGAGACUGGAAUUCCUGGUGUAGCAGUGAAAUGCGUAGAUAGCAGGAGGAAUACCGAUGGCGAAGGCAGGUCUCUGGGCUGACACUGACGCUCAUGCACGAAAGCGUGGGGAGCAAACAGG